rnacentral:rRNA from 1 species
CUGAAAAUUUGAAUGGCCGUGGUAUUUUGACCGUGCUAAGGUAGCAUAAUCAUUAGUUUUUUAAUUAAAAACUGGAAUGAAGGGUUAGAUAAGAAAAUAACUGUCUCUAUUUAAUUUUAUUAGAAUUUUAUUUUUAAGUUAAAAAGCUUAAUUAAUAUUAAAAGACGAGAAGACCCUAUAGAGUUUAAUUUUAAAAUAAAUUUUUUAUUUUAGUAUUUUUUUAUUCAUUUUUUUUUAUAAUUUAAUUGGGGUGAUUAAAAAAUUUAAUUAACUUUUUUUGUAUUUUAACAUUAAUGUAUGAUUUAUUGAUCCAAUUUUUUUGAUUAUAAGAUAAAAUUACCUUAGGGAUAACA